GGGGACAAGGGGGGCCGUGGAGGCCAUCCGCCGGCGAUGGCCGUGCGUGGCGGCCAUCCGUCCCCUGCCCCUGCCUACAAAGCCCCCCCGGGCGCCCCCUCGAAACCCUAGCGCCCUCCUCCUCUCGCCCCAUCUCCCUCCCUCGCGCUCGGCCUCGUCGGCCUCCUCCGCCCCACCUCGCCGUCGCCGUCAUCAUCGCGGCCACCGUCGUUUCUGUUGCUCGGCAGCACAUCAAGGAGGUCCGGUGUGGCCUGCUUUGUCCGUCCUGAGCACCAAACCGAGUCGGGGCGGCCCAUACGCUCUGCAUCGCCGUCGUCUCCUCGCCACGACCGCCGUCUCUCGUCGUCAAAUUCAACGCAUCCCGGUCACCCCGCGCUCGCUGACCUCAACCACAAACACCAGG
rnacentral:rRNA from 1 species